rnacentral:rRNA from 1 species
AGAGUUUGAUCAUGGCUCAGGACGAACGCUGGCGGCGUGCCUAACACAUGCAAGCCACGGGGGCCCGCAAGGGUAACCGGCGAACGGGUGCGUAACACGUGAGCAAUCUGCCGAUUUCUGGGGGAUAGCCGGUCCAACGACCGGGUAAUACCGCAUACGCUCAUUGGGGGGCAUUCCCCGAUGAGGAAACCUCCGGGGGAAAUCGAGGAGCUCGCGGCCUAUCAGCUAGUUGGUGAGGUAACGGCUCACCAAGGCGACGACGGGUAGCUGGUCUGAGAGGAUGGCCAGCCACAUUGGGACUGCGACACGGCCCAGACUCCUACGGGAGGCAGCAGUGGGGAAUAUUGCGCAAUGGACGAAAGUCUGACGCAGCGACGCCGCGUGUGGGAUGAAGCUUUUCGGAGUGUAAACCACUGUUGCUCGGGACGAACCUCCCCUUUCGAGGGGACUGACGGUACCGAGUGAGGAAGCACCGGCUAACUCUGUGCCAGCAGCCGCGGUAAUACAGAGGGUGCGAGCGUUGUCCGGAAUCACUGGGCGUAAAGGGCGCGUAGGUGGCUUGGUAAGCGUGCGGUGAAAGCUCGGGGCUCAACCCCGAGUCUGCCAUGCGAACUGCCGAGCUUGAGCAUAGUA